rnacentral:lncRNA from 10 species
UCAAGAUUGUGUGUGUUCUGAACAGAGGGAACUACAUGACAUUUUCUUCUGUAAUUGCCUUUGUAACGUCUUUAGAAUGUGGUUCCUAAAUAUUCCUGGAUAAAUUCUCUUGAUAGGCCCAUUGGAAAGGCUAAUACUCCCACCCAGUGCUUUGUUCCUUCCUGGCAAAAGAAUUCCUAAAACCACUGAUUUUAGUUACUGACUUCUCACCAUCUGGACUCUUACAAGAUGUUUCAGAAGUUGUGUAGAACUUGUCUUUCAGUUGACUUGUGGCUGAAUUUACUGUUACUUCUCUAAUAUCAGUUGUUUUCUGCAUUACCACCCUCUCCCCUAACCAUCUGUACUAUGAAUGGAAAAGGAAAAAGAUGGAAAAAUUAUACCUAGGAUUGUCCCUAAAUGCAACCUCUUGGUUCCCCCCACCCCUCAUGUUUUAUUAUAAACGAUUUUAAGAGCUGGGCAUGGUGGUUCAUGCCUAUAAUCCCAAUGCUUUGGGAAGCUGAGGCAGGAGGAUCACUUGAGGACAGGAGUUUGAGACCAGCCUGGACAACAUAGUGAGACCCCCAUCUGUACAAAAAAAAAAGUGCUACUUGGGAAGCUGAAGUGGGAGGACCACUUGAGCCCAGGAAUUCGAGGAGGUUAUAGUGAACUAUGAUUGUGCCACUGCACUCCAGCCUGGGUGACAGAGCAACACCUUGCCUCUAAAACAAACAGCUCCAACUAUUUUAUUUUUUUAUUUUUCUGAGACAAGAUGUUGCUUUGUCACCC